GGUCCCGGGCCGCUGGGUGCUGCGACCCGCUGUUGCGGAGGGGCCGGCCUAUGCGGGCCCGCCAGCGGCUGUGUGUCCGUCUGUGUCCGGGCUGCGUGUGAGGGUGUGUCCCUGCGUGCCCGGUUUGUCAGUGGCUGACUUUGCCGCAGGAGGAGGGCGAGUGUCUGAAAGUCCUUCGGUGGGAGGAGCCUGAGCCUUCGUCUUGCGUGCGGCGCCUCGCCUGGAGGUGGGCGCGCGCCGGCGCCGGGGCCCGUUUGCGGAGUGCGAUAAUGGCCCUGCGCGGCCGGCGUUUUCUAGGGUCUCUGAUCUACGGCUGUGAAUCCCCCCUGCUGCUCCCUCCUUUCCCCCAAUAGCCUUAGAGAAUCCCUGAAAAAGUGAUCUUUGGAGAGAAGACAGGAGUUUCAGUCUCAGAGUGAAGGUUCCCAGCACCAAGAUUCUCCUGCGUGGCGGACUUGGUCUUGUAAUGAGAAUUCACAAGUGUUUCUCCGUGUGACCUACAGAGAAGACAGCGGGAGCACACUCCGCUCAAGGCCACGCCGGCUUACUCAAGGAGGGCUCGUCUCGGAGUCAGAGAAACCUCGAUGCUACGCCGGGCUCCACCCACAAAGCGCGUGACUUUGGAUGUUACCUUAACCUCUUUGUUUCCAUCAUCUGUAAAAUGGGGGAAAAUACUUAACAUUGCACUUUCCUUUUAUGGUUUUCUUUUUUUGAGAAUCAAAUGAGAUAAUGAUAUAUACAAAGUUCUUACCUAGUUAUUAGUAUUAAUGUCAUUAUUGCUAUUAGACUUAUUAAGGUGAUUUAAACAAUAAAUCCUUGAGCAUCUCUGGUGUGUGCACCCCCUGUUCAGGAGAGAGUAGUGAACUCCAUCCCCUAGAGCCGAAGGCAAGCGCUGUGGCAAAAUGCAGCCAUUUUCCCAGGGAUGCAAGCUGCUCCUUGGUGUCUGAGGGACUCAACCCCAGUAUUAUGGCGGUUUGGGGGGAAUAAAGAAUAAAGAAUCUUCGUGUGUAUCAAGAGUCAGAGAAGGAAGCAAGAAUGAGUCUCGAAUCGUGUGUUGGGAAGCUGCAAGACAGGCCCGGAGCCUUCUAUCUCCUUUUUCUUCCUCCAGACUACAGGACUCUGUGCUUCUUACCAGAGGAGCGUGAAGGAAGAAGUUUGCAUCACUUAAGCCCUAAAGCCAUGGCCCAGAUGAGUUGAUAUCUUCCCUCUUUCUUCAAAUAACCUAUGCUCAACAUUUCGUCUAAAGUUUGCUAUCCUAACAGGCUUCUCUGGGCAAUGGGUCCUCGGUUCCUCCCACUCCAGGGGGUGAGAGGGCUGAAGCUAUGAUCACAAAUUACCCAAUCCCCACUCUUAUUGUCCCUGCCCUCCGCACCCUCUCUUCACAUACUCAGGAAAUUAUUCCACACAUCCAGGGAACUCAGUGCUCUGCACAGCCGUGAUGGUACAGAAAUACAUGCCUGGAAAGGAAUUGGAAAGCUUUGCAACCUGUAGUAUCAUGUAGAAUAUUUAUCAGCCUAUGAGGCACGGGCACUGGCCAUCCGGGAAGACAUAGGCCAGGGAUGGAGCAGGACCUUGGAAGCCCCCUGCUAGAUCUGAUAUUAACCCUUUAGUUUUAGGAUUAGGGGAAAUUGGGGUGGGGGGGGUGUCCCAGGAUUUGAAUAGGUCAGUUUGGGAGGUGGUUGGUGCAGCAGCUGUUUAUCAACAGUCUGUAAGCCUGCAAGAUGGACCAUUCUCUUUGCAUUUUAACAUUUCUGAAAUUGGGAUGCCUUUUUUUCAACCAGUAUUGCCUUCAAUUUGAUGAAAUACAGUAACAUUACAUCAUAAAUA